rnacentral:rRNA from 1 species
UACAGGGGGGGCAAGCGUUGUUCGGAAUUACUGGGCGUAAAGGGUUUGUAGGUGGCUUGCUCAGUCAGACGUGAAAUCCCUCAGCUUAACUGGGGAACUGCGUCUGAUACUAGCGAGCUUGAGUGCAGGAGAGGAACGCGGAAUUCCAGGUGUAGCGGUGAAAUGCGUAGAUAUCUGGAGGAACACCGGUGGCGAAGGCGGCGUUCUGGACUGCAACUGACACUGAAAAACGAAAGCCAGGGGAGCAAACGGG